rnacentral:SRP_RNA from 2 species
GCUGGGUGUGGUGGCCCACACCUGUAAUCUCAGCUUACUUGGGAGGCUGAGACAGGAGACUCACUUGAACCCAGGAAGCAGAGGUUGCAGUGAGCUGAGAUCAUGCCACUGCACUCCAGCCUGGGCGACAGAGUGAGACUCUGUCUCAA